GGGAUAGCUCAGUCGGUACAGCAUGAGACUCUUAACCUCAGGGUUGUGGAUCUGAGCCCCACAUUGGAUUA